rnacentral:rRNA from 1 species
CAGCAGCCACGGUAAUACAGAGGGUGCGAGCGUUAAUCGGAUUUACUGGGCGUAAAGCGUGCGUAGGCGGCUUUUUAAGUCGGAUGUGAAAUCCCUGAGCUUAACUUAGGAAUUGCAUUCGAUACUGGGAAGCUAGAGUAUGGGAGAGGAUGGUAGAAUUCCAGGUGUAGCGGUGAAAUGCGUAGAGAUCUGGAGGAAUACCGAUGGCGGAGGCAGCCAUCUGGCCUAAUACUGACGCUGAGGUACGAAAGCAUGGGGAGCAAACAGGAUUAGAUACCCGUGUAGUCCCUGUCUCUUAUAC